rnacentral:rRNA from 1 species
AUGGCGGAGCAGCCGCACGCCGAGGACGCGGGCCACAAGCCGGAGACCCUGAUGGAGAAGAUCGCCGACAAGCUCCACGUCGGCGGCGGCGACCACUCCUCCUCGUCCUCCGACUCCGACAAGGAGGAGCACCCGCGCCCCUCGGCGCCGCCCGCUCCCGCCCCCGCCCCCGCCGCCUCCGAGGUCACCACCGCCUCCUUCGCCGCCUCCGCCUCCGCGGCGGCGGCCGAUGCCAAGAACAAGAUGUUCCGCCUCUUCGGCCGCGAGCAGCCCAUCCACAAGGUCCUCGGCGGAGGCAAACCUGCUGAUGUGUUUAUGUGGAGGAACAAGCACAUCUCUGCUGGAGUACUAGGUGGUGCAACUGCAAUCUGGAUCCUUUUUGAAUUGCUUGGCUACCAUCUUCUGGCUUUCCUUGGCCAUGCUCUCAUAUUCUCUCUGGGUGUUCUCUUUCUCUGGUCUAAUGCCUCAUCAUUCAUUAACAAGUCUCCCCCAAAGAUUCCCGAGGUGAUCAUUCCUGAAGAUCUGGUUGUCAACAUUGCGCUAUCUACGCGUCAUGAGAUCAACAGAGCCUUCGCAAACCUUCGUCAGAUUGCUCUUGGCCGCGACAUAAAGAAGUUCCUUAUUGUGAUUGCUGGUCUAUGGCUGCUUUCCAUUCUCGGCAGUUGCUGCAACUUCUUGACGCUGUUCUACAUUGUUUUUGUGGUUCUGCACACAGUUCCCGUAAUCUAUGAGAAGUAUGAAGAUCAGAUUGAUACCUAUGGUGAGAAGGGGUGGAUUGAGGUUAAGAAACAGUAUGCUGUGUUUGAUGCCAAGGUUCUGAGCAAAGUGCCGAGGGGCCCCUUGAAAGACAAGAAGAACUAG